AUGCCGGACACGGAGAGGCAGUCGCCGUGGGCGUCGGUGGAGAGGCGGCCACACUUCUUCAAGGUGCUCAUCGGCGACUUCAAGAAGCGCCUGAAAAUCCCGCCAAAGUUCUGCAAGCACAUCCCGUGGGAGGCGUCCAGGAAGGCCAAGGGCCUGAAGGAGGCGUCCAUGGCGGCCACCCUGGAGGGCCCCAGCGGCCGGACGUGGCAGGUCGUCAUCCGCCGGACCGCCGAGGGCACCUUCUUCACAGCCGGCUGGGCCAAGUUCGUGCAGGACCAGGCGCUGCGGGAGCUCGAGUUCCUCGUCUUCCGCCACGACGGCGGCACCAGCUUCGCCGCCAUGGUGUUCGACAAGUCGGCGUGCGAGCGGGAGGACCUGCUGCUCGCCGGAGACGCGCCCCGGCCGCGCAGGAAGCGGGGUCGGCCGAGGACGGCGUCGCGGGCCGUGGAUGAUUCGGCCGGCAUGGAGCUGGUCCCGUACCGUGCGCCUGCCGAGCAGCUACCCCAAGUCGCGUGCUCCGAUCGGAUGCCGGAAUCGGACAAGUCAAAUGGAUCAGCCGGGCAUCCCGGCCCUAUGAAGGCCGAGGCGGGCGCCGGCGAGCUCCCGCUGUGCUUGAUCGCCCCGCCACCGUCGGAGUCGGGGCAGCUCCCGCCGGGCCGCUUGCCAGCCGGGACCAAGGACGGGUGCGCGGUGAAAACGCGGAGCAUCCACGUCGACCUCGCCGCGGCCAGCAUCCCCCCUUCCGUGAGGAAGUACAACGGGUACGUGUCCCGCCGCCGCCCCGUGGCGAGCGCCGAGCGGCAGCGGGCCAUGGAGCUGGCGCGCGCGUUCCGGUCGUCGCUCCCGUACUGCGUCAUCCGCAUGAGCACCAUGCACGUCUACUACUCCUUCAUGAUGAGGUUCCCCACGGGGUUCUCGAGGCAGCACCUGCCCCGGGAGAAGACGGAGAUGGUGCUCCGGGACCCGGGCGGCAAGGCGUGGGCGGCGCUCUACAUCCCCGGCACGAGGGACCGGCUGUCGCGCGGGUGGUGCGCGUUCGCGCGCGGCAACUGCCUCGAGGAAGGGGACUGCUGCGUCUUCGAGCUCGUCGGCGCGGCCGAGUUCCGCGUCCACGUGUUCCGGGUGGUCGAGCCCGCCGUGCCGGCGGUCAGGCUCCGAUUAGCUUGA
rnacentral:rRNA from 1 species